AUUGAACGCUGGCGGCAGGCCUAACACAUGCAAGUCGAACGAGUGGCGGACGGGUGAGUAAUGUCUGGGAAACUGCCUGAUGGAGGGGGAUAACUACUGGAAACGGUAGCUACUAACGCAUACCAUCAGAUGGUCCCAGAUGGGCUUUGUUUGUUGGUGGGGUAACGGUUCACCAAGGCGACGAUCCCUAGCUGGUCUGAGAGGAUGACAAGCCACACUGGAACUGAGACACGGUCCAGACGCCUACGGGAUGCAGCAGGUGGGAAUAUUGCACAAUGGGCGCAAGCCUGAUUCAGCCAGGCCGCGUGUAUGAAGAAGGCCUUCGGGUUGUAAAGUACUUUCAGCGGGGAGGCGUUACCCGCAGAAGAAGCACCGGCUAACUCCGUGCCAGCAGCCGCGGUAAUAC
rnacentral:rRNA from 1 species